ACGUAGGGUGCAAGCGUUAUCCGGAAUUAUUGGGCGUAAAGGGCGCGUAGGCGGUUUUUUAAGUCGGAUGUGCAAUCCCUGGGCUCAACCCAGGAACUGCAUCCGAGACUGGAAGGCUAGAGUACUGGAGAGGGUGGUGGAAUUCCUCGUGUAGCGGUGAAAUGCGUAGAGAUGAGGAGGAACACCAGUGGCGAAGGCGGCCACCUGGACAGUAACUGACGCUGAGGCGCGAAAGCGUGGGUAGCAAACAGGA
rnacentral:rRNA from 1 species